rnacentral:misc_RNA from 1 species
GCAAACUUGGUCAUUUAGAGGAAGUAAAAGUCGUAACAAGGUCUCCGUAGGUGAACCUGCGGAGGGAUCAUUAAAGAGAAAGGGCCCACGGCCCGACCUCCAACCCUUUGUAUUACCAACCACGUUGCCUCGGGGGUGACCCUGCCUCCCGGCUGGUGUCCCCCCGGUGGACAUUCAAACUCUGCAUCCUUUGCGUCGGAGUGAAUCAAUCAAAUUGAAUCAAAACUUUCAACAACGGAUCUCUUGGUUCUGGCAUCGAUGAAGAACGCAGC